UGUUCUUUCCCCCUCUAUGGUGUUGUUAUAUACUUAUCCAUCCAUCCGAUGAUUUGAUUGAAGUGACUGUUCUGUGUGUGACAACCAGUCUUUAUCACAAGAUUUGAAUAAUCAUAUUUGGUUUUAUUAUUAAACGUCAUUAUCUGUAAAAAAAUAUGUUGUGUUGAUUACAGAAAUGAGUACAGACAAGGUGCAGUACAACGGUUUAAAGGAAGUGACAUAUUAAAACAGCUCACUGUUUGACUUCCAGUAAAGUCCGUGAACAGACGUUAUGGAUGAAAAACUUCAAUACAAAUUAUGACAAGAAUUCCAAGCAGUGAUCUACAAAUGGCCCAAAUCUAAACCUAAACAUGUCAGCUAUCAGUCGAUCAAAGGCCUGUUGGCUGGAUUAUACCGGAUUAUCAUUUAGGAACACUGAUUUAAUCUGUAUCAAGUUAGAGAGAGAGAGAGAGAGAGAGAGAGAGAGAGAGAGAGUGUUUGAGAGAGUGUUUGAGAGAGAGAGAGAAAGAGAAAGAGAGGAGGGGUGAGAUAGUGAUGAGGGAGAGAGAAAAGGAGAGAGGGGGGAGAGAGAGAAAGAGAGAGAGAGAGAGAGUGUUUGAGAGAGUGUUUGAGAGAGAGAGAGAAAGAGAAAGAGAGGAGGGGUGAGAUAGUGAUGAGGGAGAGAGAAAAAUAGAGAGGGGGGAGAGAGAGAAAGAGGAGGGGAAUGGGGAAAGGGAGACAGAAAGGGGCAGAGAGAGAAAGAGAGAGAGUGGGGGAUAGAGAGAGAGAAGAGAGGGAUGGAGAGAGUGGGGGAAGGGGAGAGGGGGAGAGUGAGAGAGAGGGGGGUAGAGAGAGAAGAAAGGGAUAGAGAGAGGGGGAGAGGGGGAAGAGCGAGAGGGGGGAGAAUAGCCCCAGGUGUAAAAUAGUAUAUAAUGGUUACCUCUCAGAAAGUAUAGAGCUGUUAAGAGGACUAGAACAAGGCCGUCCAUUAUCUCUGCAUCUAUUUAUUAUGGCCAUUCUAAUGAAAACUAUAAUAAUUAUAUCCAACAGGAACAUCCAUUUAAAUGAUUAUUCCAAAUGAACAGAAAGUUAAACAGAUGGGGAAUACAACAAUCUCAGCUCGGUAGAUUUGGAUGAGAAGAGACAGAAUCACUAAAUCAUUUAUUCUGGCGUUGCCUCCGUGUUACUGGUCACAGGUUCAGUAAUGGUUAAAAACAUCACAACACUCACUUCAAAUGAACGUUACCAAUGGCAGCGUUGGGCGAUCUGGAACAACAUAGUCAGUCAACACAUAAUAUUAUAAUACUGGUAGGAAAGGUGUUCAUCUUUAGCUCACAAUCUGUGGAUAAUAUACCAUUAGAAAGGUAAACUAAUUCAUUUGAAACAUCACAGAACAGUUUGUAAAAUAUAUGGAAACCAAACGAGGUCUGUGGUGAUAGGUGGGAUGGGCUGAGAGGUUGAGGGGUGGUCUGUGGUGAUAGGUGGGAUGGGCUGAGAGGUUGAGGGGUGGUCUGUGGUGAUAGGUGGGAUGGGCUGAGAGGUUGAGGGGUGGUCUGUGGUGAUAGGUGGGAUGGGCUGAGAGGUUGAGGGGUGGUCUGUGGUGAUAGGUGGGAUGGGCUGAGAGGUUGAGGGGUGGUAUGUGGUGAUAGGUGGGAUAGGUUGAGAGGUUGAGGGGUGGUCUGUGGUGAUAGGUGGGAUAGGUUGAGAGGUUGAGGGGUGGUAUGUGGUGAUAGGUGGGAUAGGCUGAGAGGUUGAGGGGUGGUCUGUGGUGAUAGGUGGGAUGGGCUGAGAGGUUGAGGGGUGGUCUGUGGUGAUAGGUGGGAUGGGUUGAGAGGUUGAGGGGUGGUCUGUGGUGAUAGGUGGGAUGGGUUGAGAGGUUGAGGGGUGGUCUGUGGUGAUAGGUGGGAUGGGUUGAGAGGUUGAGGGGUGGUCUGUGGUGAUAGGUGGGAUGGGCUGAGAGGUUGAGGGGUGGUCUGUGGUGAUAGGUGGGAUGGGCUGAGAGGUUGAGGGGUGGUCUGUGGUGAUAGGUGGGAUGGGUUGAGAGGUUGAGGGGUGGUCUGUGGUGAUAGGUGGGAUAGGCUGAGAGGUUGAGGGGUGGUCUGUGGUGAUAGGUGGGAUGGGCUGAGAGGUUGAGGGGUGGUCUGUGGUGAUAGGUGGGAUGGGCUGAGAGGUUGAGGGGUGGUCUGUGGUGAUAGGUGGGAUGGGUUGAGAGGUUGAGGGGUGGUCUGUGGUGAUAGGUGGGAUAGGCUGACAGGUUGAGGGGUGGUCUGUGGUGAUAGGUGGGAUGGGCUGAGAGGUUGAGGGGUGGUCUGUGGUGAUAGGUGGGAUGGGCUGAGAGGUUGAGGGGUGGUCUGUGGUGAUAGGUGGGAUGGGUUGAGAGGUUGAGGGGUGGUCUGUGGUGAUAGGUGGGAUGGGUUGAGAGGUUGAGGGGUGGUCUGUGGUGAUAGGUGGGAUGGGCUGAGAGGUUGAGGGGUGGUCUGUGGUGAUAGGUGGGAUGGGUUGAGAGGUUGAGGGGUGGUCUGUGGUGAUAGGUGGGAUGGGUUGAGAGGUUGAGGGGUGGUCUGUGGUGAUAGGUGGGAUGGGUUGAGAGGUUGAGGGGUGGUCUGUGGUGAUAGGUGGGAUGGGUUGAGAGGUUGAGGGGUGGUCUGUGGUGAUAGGUGGGAUGGGUUGAGAGGUUGAGGGGUGGUAUGUGGUGAUAGGUGGGAUGGGCUGAGAGGUUGAGGGGUGGUCUGUGGUGAUAGGUGGGAUGGGCUGAGAGGUUGAGGGGUGGUCUGUGGUGAUAGGUGGGAUGGGUUGAGAGGUUGAGGGGUGGUCUGUGGUGAUAGGUGGGAUGGGCUGAGAGGUUGAGGGGUGGUCUGUGGUGAUAGGUGGGAUGGGUUGAGAGGUUGAGGGGUGGUCUGUGGUGAUAGGUGGGAUGGGCUGAGAGGUUGAGGGGUGGUCUGUGGUGAUAGGUGGGAUGGGCUGAGAGGUUGAGGGGUGGUCUGUGGUGAUAGGUGGGUUGGGCUGAGAGUGGCUGAGGGGCGGGAUUAAAGAGCUGAGGUCUAUGGUGAUAGGUGGGAUGGGCUGAGAGUGACAGAGGGGCGGGAUUAAAGAGCUGAGGUCUAUGGUGAUAGGUGGGAUGGGCUGAGGGGCGGGAUUAAAGAGCUGAGGUCUAUGGUGAUAGGUGGGAUGGGCUGAGGGGCGGGAUUAAAGAGCUGAGGUCUGUGGUGAUAGGUGGGAUGGGCUGAGGGGCGGGAUUAAAAACUGAGGUCUGUGGUGAUAGGUGGGAUGGGCUGAGGGGCGGGAUUAAAGAGUUGAGGUCUGUGGUGAUAGGUGGGAUGGGCUGAGGGGCAGGAUUAAAGAGCUGAGGUCUAUGGUGAUAGGUGGGAUGGGCUGAGGGGCGGGAUUAAAGAGCUGAGGUCUAUGGUGAUAGGUGGGAUGGGCUGAGGGGCGGGAUUAAAGAGCUGAGGUCUAUUGAUAGGUGGGAUGGGCUGAAGGGCGGGAUUAAAGAGCUGAUGUUCAGUCAUGUAUUAUUGUUAUGUGAUUCGCUGUAUAUAAAAGUAAAAUGUGUCUGUGAAAUGUGUCUGUGAAAUGUGUCUGUGAAAUGUGUCUGUAAAAUGUGUCUGUGAAAUGUGUCUGUAAAAUGUGUCUGUGAAAUGUGUCUGUGAAAUGUAUCUGUGAAAUGUGUCUGUGAAAUGUGUCUGUGAAAUGUGUCUGUGAAAUGUGUCUGUGAAAUGUGUCUGUGAAAUGUGUCUGUGAAAUGUGUCUGUGAAAUGUGUCUGUGAAAUGUAUCUGUGAAAUGUGUCUGUGAAAUGUGUCUGUGAAAUGUGUCUGUAAAAUGUGUCUGUGAAAUGUGUCUGUGAAAUGUAUCUGUGAAAUGUGUCUGUGAAAUGUGUCUGUGAAAUGUGUCUGUGAAAUGUGUCUGUGAAAUGUGUCUGUGAAAUGUGUCUGUGAAAUGUGUCUGUGAAAUGUGUCUGUGAAAUGUGUAU